UACGUAGGGUGCAAGCGUUGUCCGGAAUUAUUGGGCGUAAAGAGCUUGUAGGCGGUUUGUCGCGUCUGCUGUGAAAUUUCGGGGGCUCAACCCCCGAACUUGCAGUGGGUACGGGCAGACUAGAGUGUGGUAGGGGAGACUGGAAUUCCUGGUGUAGCGGUGAAAUGCGCAGAUAUCAGGAGGAACACCGAUGGCGAAGGCAGGUCUCUGGGCCAUAACUGACGCUGAGAAGCGAAAGCAUGGGGGAGCGAACAGG
rnacentral:rRNA from 1 species